UCUCAUCAUCUUUAUAACCUAGACGAUCAACGUACUUACUCAUUUGCGAUUUGAAUGCACCUCUUAAUUCUUCAGGCGAGUAACGUUCACACCAGUAAUCGAUUAAAUCUAUAUUGCUAUCACCGUAAUUGGAAUAACUCCGGGAAACCGGGGCUAAUGCCGGAUAACAUGUUGAACCGCAUGGUUCUACAGUGAAAGACGGUCUUGCUGUCACUUAUAGAUGGACCCGCGCCGUAUUAGCUAGUUGGUGGGGUAACGGCCUACCAAGGCGACGAUACGUAGCCGACCUGAGAGGGUGAUCGGCCACACUGGAACUGAGACACGGUCCAGACUCCUACGGGAGGCAGCAGUAGGGAAUCUUCCGCAAUGGGCGAAAGCCUGACGGAGCAACGCCGCGUGAGUGAUGAAGGUCUUCGGAUCGUAAAGCUCUGUUGUUAGGGAAGAACAAAUGUGUAAGUAACUGUGCACAUCUUGACGGUACCUAACCAGAAAGCCACGGCUAACUACGUGCCAGCAGCCGCGGUAAUACGUAGGUGGCAAGCGUUAUCCGGAAUUAUUGGGCGUAAAGCGCGCGUAGGCGGUUUUUUAAGUCUGAUGUGAAAGCCCACGGCUCAACCGUGGAGGGUCAUUGGAAACUGGAAAACUUGAGUGCAGAAGAGGAAAGUGGAAUUCCAUGUGUAGCGGUGAAAUGCGCAGAGAUAUGGAGGAACACCAGUGGCGAAGGCGGCUUUCUGGUCUGCAACUGACGCUGAUGUGCGAAAGCGUGGGGAUCAAACAGGAUUAGAUACCCUGGUAGUCCACGCCGUAAACGAUGAGUGCUAAGUGUUAGGGGGUUUCCGCCCCUUAGUGCUGCAGCUAACGCAUUAAGCACUCCGCCUGGGGAGUACGGUCGCAAGACUGAAACUCAAAGGAAUUGACGGGGACCCGCACAAGCGGUGGAGCAUGUGGUUUAAUUCGAAGCAACGCGAAGAACCUUACCAAAUCUUGACAUCCUUUGACCGCUCUAGAGAUAGAGUUUUCCUCUUCGGAGGACAAAGUGACAGGUGGUGCAUGGUUGUCGUCAGCUCGUGUCGUGAGAUGUUGGGUUAAGUCCCGCAACGAGCGCAACCCUUGAACUUAGUUGCCAUCAUUCAGUUGGGCACUCUAAGUUGACUGCCGGUGACAAACCGGAGGAAGGUGGGGAUGACGUCAAAUCAUCAUGCCCCUUAUGAUUUGGGCUACACACGUGCUACAAUGGACAAUACAAAGGGCAGCGAAACCGCGAGGUCAAGCAAAUCCCAUAAAGUUGUUCUCAGUUCGGAUUGUAGUCUGCAACUCGACUACAUGAAGCUGGAAUCGCUAGUAAUCGUAGAUCAGCAUGCUACGGUGAAUACGUUCCCGGGUCUUGUACACACCGCCCGUCACACCACGAGAGUUUGUAACACCCGAAGCCGGUGGAGUAACCAUUUUGGAGCUAGCCGUCGAAGGUGGGACAAAUGAUUGGGGUGAAGUCGUAACAAGGUAGCCGUAUCGGAAGGUGCGGCUGGAUCACCUCCUUU
rnacentral:rRNA from 1 species